GGACGAACGCUGGCGGCGUGCCUAAUACAUGCAAGUAGAACGCUGAAGAGAGGAGCUUGCUCUUCUUGGAUGAGUUGCGAACGGGUGAGUAACGCGUAGGUAACCUGCCUUGUAGCGGGGGAUAACUAUUGGAAACGAUAGCUAAUACCGCAUAACAAUGGAUGACACAUGUCAUUUAUUUGAAAGGGGCAAUUGCUCCACUACAAGAUGGACCUGCGUUGUAUUAGCUAGUAGGUGAGGUAAUGGCUCACCUAGGCGACGAUACAUAGCCGACCUGAGAGGGUGAUCGGCCACACUGGGACUGAGACACGGCCCAGACUCCUACGGGAGGCAGCAGUAGGGAAUCUUCGGCAAUAGGGGCAACCCUGACCGAGCAACGCCGCGUGAGUGAAGAAGGUUUUCGGAUCGUAAAGCUCUGUUGUAAGUCAAGAACGGGUGUGAGAGUGGAAAGUUCACACUGUGACGGUAGCUUACCAGAAAGGGACGGCUAACUACGUG
rnacentral:rRNA from 1 species